UGAUCCAUGAGGGGCUCGAACCCACGACCUUUGGCUCAUAAGACCAAUGCUCUAACCGACUGAGCUAAUGGAUC
rnacentral:tRNA from 1 species